CAGGGAUUGCCUUAGUAACGGCGAGUGAAGCGGCAACAGCUCAAAUUUGAAAUCUGGCCUUCGGGUCCGAGUUGUAAUUUGUAGAGGAUGCUUUUGGCGCGGUGCCUUCCGAGUUCCCUGGAACGGGACGCCUUAGAGGGUGAGAGCCCCGUACGGUUGGACACCAAGCCUCUGUAAAGCUCCUUCGACGAGUCGAGUAGUUUGGGAAUGCUGCUCUAAAUGGGAGGUAAAUUUCUUCUAAAGCUAAAUAUUGGCCAGAGACCGAUAGCGCACAAGUAGAGUGAUCGAAAGAUGAAAAGCACUUUGAAAAGAGGGUUAAAUAGCACGUGAAAUUGUUGAAAGGGAAGCGUUUGCGACCAGACCUUUUCUUGGCGGAUCAUCCGGUGUUAUCACCGGUGCACUUCGCCAAGUUGAGGCCAGCAUCGGUUUUUGUAGGGGGAUAAAAGCCUGGGGAAUGUGGCUCCUUCGGGAGUGUUAUAGCCCCUCGCAUAAUACCCUU
rnacentral:rRNA from 1 species